CCUACGGGAGGCAGCAGUGGGGAAUAUUGCACAAUGGGGGAAACCCUGAUGCAGCGACGCCGCGUGAGUGAAGAAGCGUUUCGGCGCGUAAAGCUCUGUCAGCGGGGAAGAAACACGGUUCGCGAGAGCCGCGGACGGUGCCCGACCAAGAAGCCCCAGCUAACUACGUGCCAGCAGCCGCGGUAAUACGUAGGGGGCAAGCGUUAUCAGGAUUCACUGGGGGUAAAGGGAGCGUAGACGUCGAUACAACUCUGGAGUGAAAGGCCGGGGCCCAACCCCGGGACUGCUCUGGAAAGUGCCUGGCGUGAGUAAAGGAGAGGUAAGCGGAAUUCCUGGUGUAGCGGUGAAAUGCGUAGAUAUUAGGAGGAACACCAGUGGCGAAGGCGGCUUACUGGACUGUAACUGACGUUGAGGCUCGAAAGCGUGGGGAGCAAACAGGAUUAGAUACCCUAGUAGUC
rnacentral:rRNA from 1 species